CUUGUCUGUCUUGCUCUCUUCUUCAUUUAAUUUCUUCAAUAUAACAGAUGCUGAGGCCAGAGAAAAGGUGUCAGUUUAGUCAUUAAUUGGUGUAGGUUGGUAGGGGUUGCUUGCUAAAUAUAAACCCAGUAGCAAAUCACUUCAAUCUAGUGCAUAGCGUUGUAUAUCUCUUUAUAUCUUUUGCAUUUUGAGUGCGAGCAGUAGCGGAGGUAAGACGAGCCCGGAAGACUGCAGCUAAGGUAAAAAGUAGCGUGGGAGAAAGAGAAAACAUCGAGGUCCCCCUCAUGGUUCCAAGUCCUGCCAAGGAGGAAGGACCAAAGCCAAGCCAAACAGGCAGACUAGGCGAGUGCCCAUCCCAGAGGGCAGUUAAGAGUCAACCACAUUGCUGUGUGUCUGGAAUCAUGCAUAGUCCACACCAGAAUCCAUUGCUGAAGGAAUUCCUGCUUUUGUGACUAAGAUGUUGAAAUUUUUGCACUUGCCGCUGAGCUCAUCACUGACAAAUUCCCCUCCAUUGUCAGAUACAGAUGCUGCCAGACCUGCUCAGCUCUUCCAGCAACUUCUGUUUUGCAUUUCUGAUUUACAGCAUCCGCAGUUCUUUC